CCGGCUAAGAUAACAAAAAAGGGAAAGCAGGACUGAAAUAACUAGGAAGGAGUCAAGAAAUACAGAUACAAAAGCCUGUGAUGUAACAAAUGCCAGGAAAGGAUACUUAGAAAGAAGAUAAAGUAGAUGAAUAAGAAAGCCCCAGAUAAAAAUCCCCUGGAUACAUUGUUUCCACAGGGUGUAGUAGAUGAUUCAGUUAGUAAAGUGCUCAUCUAAUAUGGCUGAUAACCCCAGGCCUGAGAGGGCAGACAUGUAGAUCUUGGAAACUUGCUGGCUAGCCAGCCUGUCUGAACUGAUGAAUCACAGGUUCAGUGAGAGACCUUCGGUGAAAACCUAAGGAGGAAGAGUGAUGGAGGAAAACACCCAAAGUCAACCUCUGUCCUCUACACCUA
rnacentral:lncRNA from 1 species